rnacentral:rRNA from 1 species
GACGAACGCUGGCGGCGUGCUUAACACAUGCAAGUCGAACGGAAAGGCCCUGCUUUUGUGGGGUGCUCGAGUGGCGAACGGGUGAGUAACACGUGAGUAACCUGCCCUUGACUUUGGGAUAACUUCAGGAAACUGGGGCUAAUACCGGAUAGGAGCUCCUGCUGCAUGGUGGGGGUUGGAAAGUUUCGGCGGUUGGGGAUGGACUCGCGGCUUAUCAGCUUGUUGGUGGGGUAGUGGCUUACCAAGGCUUUGACGGGUAGCCGGCCUGAGAGGGUGACCGGCCACAUUGGGACUGAGAUACGGCCCAGACUCCUACGGGAGGCAGCAGUGGGGAAUAUUGCACAAUGGGCGGAAGCCUGAUGCAGCAACGCCGCGUGCGGGAUGACGGCCUUCGGGUGGUAAACCGCUUUCGCCUGUGACGAAGCGUGAGUGACGGUAUGGGUAAAGAAGCACCGGCUAACUACGUG